GACGAACGCUGGCGGCGUGCUUAACACAUGCAAGUCGAACGGAAAGGCCCUGCUUUUGUGGGGUGCUCGAGUGGCGAACGGGUGAGUAACACGUGAGUAACCUGCCCUUGACUUUGGGAUAACUUCAGGAAACUGGGGCUAAUACCGGAUAGGAGCUCCUGCUGCAUGGUGGGGGUUGGAAAGUUUCGGCGGUUGGGGAUGGACUCGCGGCUUAUCAGCUUGUUGGUGGGGUAGUGGCUUACCAAGGCUUUGACGGGUAGCCGGCCUGAGAGGGUGACCGGCCACAUUGGGACUGAGAUACGGCCCAGACUCCUACGGGAGGCAGCAGUGGGGAAUAUUGCACAAUGGGCGGAAGCCUGAUGCAGCAACGCCGCGUGCGUGAUGACGGCCUUCGAGUUGUAAACCGCUUUCGCCUGUGACGAAGCGUGAGUGACGGUAAUGGGUAAAGAAGCACCGGCUAACUACGUG
rnacentral:rRNA from 1 species